CAGUAGCCGCGGUAAUACGGAGGGUGCAAGCGUUAUCCGGAUUCACUGGGUUUAAAGGGUGCGUAGGCGGAUCUGUAAGUCAGUGGUGAAAUCUCCAGGCUUAACCUGGAAACUGCCGUUGAUACUAUAGGUCUUGAAUUUUGUGGAGGUUAGCGGAAUAUGUCAUGUAGCGGUGAAAUGCAUAGAUAUGACAUAGAACACCAAUUGCGAAGGCAGCUGGCUACACAACUAUUGACGCUGAGGCACGAAAGCGUGGAGAUCAAACAGGAUUAGAUACCCCAGUAGUCCCUGUCUCUUAUAC
rnacentral:rRNA from 1 species